GACGAACGCUGGCGGCGUGCCUAAUACAUGCGAGUCGAACGCAUUUUCUUUCACUGUAGCUUGCUACACAGUAAGAAAAUGAGUGGCGAACGGGAGAGUACCACGUUGGUAACCUGCCCAUCCGCGGGGGAUAACAAUUGGAAACAGGAGCUAAUCACGUAUAAUUUCAUUUCUCGCAUGGAAGAUGGGUGAAAGGCGUUUUUGCUUCACUGACGGUUGGACCCGCGGUGCAUUAGCUAGUUGGUGAGGUAACGGCCUACCAAGGCGGCGAUGCAUAGCCGACCUGAGAGGGUGAUCGGCCACACUGGGACUGAGACACGGCCCAGACUCCUACGGGAGGCAGCAGUAGGGAAUCUUCGGCAAUGGACGCAAGUCUGACCGAGCAACGCCGCGUGAGUGAAGAAGGUUUUCGGAUCGUAAAACUCUGUUGUUAGAGAAGAACAAGUAUGAGAGUGGAAAGUUCAUCCCUUGACGGUAUCUAACCAGAAAGCCACGGCUAACUACGUG
rnacentral:rRNA from 1 species